rnacentral:rRNA from 1 species
GAUGAACGCUGGCGGCGUGCCUAAUACAUGCAAGUCGAGCGAACAGACGAGGAGCUUGCUCCUCUGACGUUAGCGGCGGACGGGUGAGUAACACGUGGAUAACCUACCUAUAAGACUGGGAUAACUUCGGGAAACCGGAGCUAAUACCGGAUAAUAUAUUGAACCGCAUGGUUCAAUAGUGAAAGACGGUUUUGCUGUCACUUAUAGAUGGAUCCGCGCCGCAUUAGCUAGUUGGUAAGGUAACGGCUUACCAAGGCAACGAUGCGUAGCCCAACUGAGGGGGUGGUCGGCCACACUGGAACUGAGACACGGUCCAGGCUCCUACGGGAGGCAGCAGUAGGGAAUCUUCCUCAAUGGGCGAAAGCCUGACGGAGCAACGCCGCGUGAGUGAUGAAGGUCUUCGGAUCGUAAAACUCUGUUAUUAGGGAAGAACAAAUGUGUAAGUAACUAUGCACGUCUUGACGGUACCUAAUCAGAAAGCCACGGCUAACUACGUG